GAUGAACGCUAGCUACAGGCUUAACACAUGCAAGUCGAGGGGCAGCGCGGUGUAGCAAUACAUGGGCGGCGACCGGCGCACGGGUGCGUAACGCGUAUCCAACCUUCCCGUUACUCAGGGAUAGCCUUCCGAAAGGGAGAUUAAUACCUGAUGGUGUUCAAAUUCCGCAUGCUAUUUCAACUAAAGAUUUAUCGGUAACGGCAGGGGUUGCGUGAAAUUAGAUAGUAGGCGGGGUAACGGCCAACCUAGUCUACGAGGUCUAGGGGUUCUGAGAGGAAGGUCCCCCACACUGGAACUGAGACACGGUCCAGACUCCUACGGGAGGCAGCAGUGAGGAAUAUUGGUCAAUGGUCGGAAGACUGAACCAGCCAAGUAGCGUGAAGGAUGAAGGUUCUAUGGAUUGUAAACUUCUUUUAUACGGGAAUAAAACCUCCCACGUGUGGGAGCUUGUAUGUACCGUAUGAAUAAGCAUCGGCUAACUCCGUGCCAGCCGCCGCCGUAAUAC
rnacentral:rRNA from 1 species